rnacentral:rRNA from 1 species
UUCUGAGACGUGAUACCGAGCCGCUUCAGGCGAAGUCAUUAAUCCUAUGCUGCCUAGAAAAGCCCAGUAGCGAGUUGACAUGGUGCCCGUACCCCAAACCAACACAGGUGGACAGGUAGAGCAUACCAAGGCGAGUGGGAUAACUAUGGUUAAGGAACUCGGCAAAUUUCCUCCGUAACUUCGGGAUAAGGAGGACCCCAGUAGCGUGACGAGACUUGCUCUCCGAGCGUGAAGGGGUGGCACAAAAUUGAGGGAAGCGACUGUUUACCAAAAACACAGCAGCGUGCUAAGCCGUAAGGCGCUGUAUACGCUGUGACUCCUGCCCGGUGCUGGAAGGUUACGGGGAUGGGUUAGUCCUUCGGGACGAAGCUCUGAACCUAAGCCCCAGUAAACGGCGGCCGUAACUAUAACGGUCCUAAGGUAGCGAAAUUCCUUGUCGGGUAAGUUCCGACCUGCACGAAUGGAGUAACGACUUCCCUACUGUCUCAACCAUAGACCCAGCGAAAUUGAAGUACGAGUAAAGAUGCUCGUUAGCUGCAGAAGGACGGAAAGACCCCGUGGACCUUUACUAUAACUUGAUGUUGUGUUUUGUCAUAUGUUGUGUAGGAUAGGUGGGAGACAAGGAAGCAUGGACGCUAGUCUGUGUGGAGUCAUCGUUGAAAUACCACCCUGCAUAUGGUGAGGCUCUAACCUAGACCCGUUAUCCGGGUUGGGGACAGCGUCAGGCGGGUAGUUUAACUGGGGCGGUUGCCUCCUAAAGAGUAACGGAGGCGCCCAAAGGUUCCCUCAGCCUGGUUGGCAAUCAGGCGUCGAGUGCAAUGGCAAAAGGGAGCUUGACUGCGAGACCUACAAGUCGAGCAGGAGCGAAAGCUGGGCAUAGUGAUCCGGCGGUUGCGUGUGGAAGCGCCGUCGCUCAACGGAUAAAAGGUACCCCGGGGAUAACAGGCUAAUCUUGCCCAAGCGUCCAUAGCGACGGCAAGGUUUGGCACCUCGAUGUCGGCUCAUCGCAUCCUGGGGCUGAAGCAGGUCCCAAGGGUUGGGCUGUUCGCCCAUUAAAGCGGUACGCGAGCUGGGUUCAGAACGUCGUGAGACAGUUCGGUCCCUAUCCUCUGUAGCCGUAGGUGAAUUGAGGAAAGCUGUCCCUAGUACGAGAGGACCGGGACGGACGCAGCUCUCGUGUGCCAGUUGUCCUGCCAAGGGCAUGGCUGGUUAGCGACCUGCGGAAAGGAUAACCGCUGAAAGCAUCUAAGCGGGAAGCCUCUUCCGAGAUGAAUUCACCCACAGGGUUAACCUGGUAAGGCCCGUGGUAGACCACCACGUUGAUAGGCCGGAAGUGUAAGCGUGGCAACACGUUCAGCUGACCGGUACUAAUCGGCCGAGGGCUUGAAUU